CUGCGCGGGGCAUGGGGCCAUGGCCGGGCCUGCUCUCAGCAAAUGCUGGAUUCGCUUCCUGAUCUUCGUGCUUCUACUGCUGCUGACCUGGGGGGCGACUGACCGGGAAGCUGCAGCCUCUACCUACGUGUCUCAACCGCCCUGGCUGUGGGGUCUCCGGGGGAAACCCCUUUCCCUGCCCUGCACGUUGAAGGACUCCCAGUACCCGCAGAUGUUCUGGUACCGGCAGCGGACUGGAGAGGCCCCGGUCAUUCUGUUCAGCAGUUACGGCACAGACGCUAUGAAUUACACUGAAGAACCCCUGACAGCUAAGAGGAAAGGCGAUGAUUUGGAGCUGAGCUGGCAGCGUCUGAGGGAGGCUGACUCGGCCAUGUAUUUCUGCGCCUGCAGUACUGUUUCACGGUGAUUCAGCUGCAGCCUCUACCUACGUGUCUCAACCUACCUGGCUGUGGGGUCUCCGGGGGAAACCCCUUUCCCUGCCCUGCACGUUGAAGGACUCCCAGUACCCGCAGAUGUUCUGGAACCGGCAGCGGAUCGGAGAGGCCCCGUUUGCUCUAUUCAACAGUUAAGCCGGAGACAUGGUGAAUUACACGACAGAUCCCCUGACAGCCGAGAGGAAAGGGGAUGUUUUAGAACUGCACUGGCAGCGUCUGGGAGAGGCUGACUCGGCCAUGUAUUUCAGCGCCUGCAGUUUGUUGCACAGUGAUCCAAGCCUGUGAGGGCAUUGAGCAAAAAAGAGCUGGGCGGAGCAGGGGUCAUUUCCUCUCCUGGAGUGGUGGGGGAGGCAUCUGCAGCUGUGCGGUUGAGAAGUCACCAUCACCCAUCCCCCUGCCCGCUUCAGUCCUAGCCUCUCAAAGCUGCUGGAAUUUAUUUGAGUGUUCUCCGCGACACUUGGUUCCCAGCCUUUAGAUCUCUUUCCCCCCAUCUCUUCCUAUCCUGUCUCUGUCUCCCACUCCAUUUCCUGCCCCAUUUCUAGCUUCUCCUCCAUCUCCACCUUUCUGGAGCUGAGCCAGGCUUCCGAGGCACUCAUCGUCAUGAGGCUCAUUCUACCAGCUGAGCUCCCCCUGAAGAUGGCACCUGGAAAGUCUCCAGUACUCUACCAGUCUCGGCUAGGGAGGGAGAGCCAAGCAGAAGUAUUUCCAUUCCUUGCUUGGCCAGUGGAUAGCCAGUGGAAGUCAGUCUCCUUAAAGUCAAAACUCACCUGUGCUGGGCAGUAACACUGUGGUAGAGAGCCAAGGGUGGAGACUAAAGUUUACUGCAUGGAAGGAGGCAAAGGUAAACCACUUC